GGGGGCAUACCUCAAUGGUAAAGUACAUACUUAGCAUGCAUGAGGCUCUGGGUUCCAUCCCCAGCACUCA
rnacentral:tRNA from 1 species